UACUAACGCUGGCGGCGUGCCUAAUACAUGCAAGUAGAACGCUGAAGAGAGGAGCUUGCUCUUCUUGGAUGAGUUGCGAACGGGUGAGUAACGCGUAGGUAACCUGCCUUGUAGCGGGGGAUAACUAUUGGAAACGAUAGCUAAUACCGCAUAACAAUGGAUGACACAUGUCAUUUAUUUGAAAGGGGCAAUUGCUCCACUACAAGAUGGACCUGCGUUGUAUUAGCUAGUAGGUGAGGUAAUGGCUCACCUAGGCGACGAUACAUAGCCGACCUGAGAGGGUGAGCGGCCACACUGGGACUGAGACACGGCCCAGACGCCUACGGGAGGCAGCAGUAGGGAAUCUUCGGCAAUAGGGGCAACCCUGACCGAGCAACGCCGCGUGAGUGAAGAAGGUUUUCGGAUCGUAAAGCUCUGUUGUAAGUCAAGAACGGGUGUGAGAGUGGAAAGUUCACACUGUGACGGUAGCUUACCAGAAAGGGACGGCUAACUACGUG
rnacentral:rRNA from 1 species